CCCUUAGAUGUUCUGGGCCGCACGCGCGCUACACUGAUGCAUUCAACGAGUCUAAAACCUGCUCUGAUAGGGGUGGUAAUCUUUUGAAUGUGCAUCGUGAUUGGGAUAGAUGAUUGCAAUUUUUCAUCUUCAACGAGGAAUGCCUAGUAAACGCAAGUCAUCAGCUUGCAUUGAUUACGUCCCUGCCCUUUGUACACACCGCCCGUCGCUCCUACCGAUUGAAUGAUCCGAUGAAUAUCAUGGAUUGAGGAUGCAAGUAGGUUAGCCUAUCUUCAUCUUCGAGAAGUGAAGUAAAUCUUAUCAUUUAGAGGAAGGAGAAGUCGUAACA
rnacentral:rRNA from 1 species